AUGCAAUAGGGAUAGUAGUGGAAAUCCUUUUUUGCUUGGACUUCUAGUCUUUUGUAUGACAAAUGUUGAUGCAAAAAAGAUUGCAACGGAUAGCCCGACCCGAG
rnacentral:sRNA from 1 species